GUACUUUGAAUAAUGUGACUCGGCUUUGUUUAUGGCAAGAGUGUUGUCCUUGCUAGCCAAGCGGCGUACUGACAUGAAACACAUAAUAAAAUCUGUUUGUAAUCACAAAAUGUGUACUUGCAAUUGAGCGAUUGUUUAUGGAUCAUACUACCACUAACUGAAAUAUUUUCUAAUAAGCUAAUUGCUGGAUCCUUUGGUGGUUUAAGUUAUUGAGUCUUUACUUGUGCUUUUUUUGAAAAGAGUUUAUAAUCGAAACUUGCAACAAAAAAUCUUGAAACCUUUACACAAAACCUAUUCACA